rnacentral:rRNA from 2 species
GCAAGUCGUACGCACUGGCCCACUGAUUGAUGGUGCUUGCACCUGAUUGACGAUGGAUCACCAGUGAGUGGCGGACGGGUGAGUAACACGUAGGUAACCUGCCCCGGAGCGGGGGAUAACAUUUGGAAACAGAUGCUAAUACCGCAUAACAACAAAAGCCACAUGGCUUUUGUUUGAAAGAUGGCUUUGGCUAUCACUCUGGGAUGGACCUGCGGUGCAUUAGCUAGUUGGUAAGGUAACGGCUUACCAAGGCGAUGAUGCAUAGCCGAGUUGAGAGACUGAUCGGCCACAAUGGAACUGAGACACGGUCCAUACUCCUACGGGAGGCAGCAGUAGGGAAUCUUCCACAAUGGGCGCAAGCCUGAUGGAGCAACACCGCGUGAGUGAAGAAGGGUUUCGGCUCGUAAAGCUCUGUUGUUGGAGAAGAACGUGCGUGAGAGUAACUGUUCACGCAGUGACGGUAUCCAACCAGAAAGUCACGGCUAACUACGUGCCAGCAGCCGCGGUAAUACGUAGGUGGCAAGCGUUAUCCGGAUUUAUUGGGCGUAAAGCGAGCGCAGGCGGUUGCUUAGGUCUGAUGUGAAAGCCUUCGGCUUAACCGAAGAAGUGCAUCGGAAACCGGGCGACUUGAGUGCAGAAGAGGACAGUGGAACUCCAUGUGUAGCGGUGGAAUGCGUAGAUAUAUGGAAGAACACCAGUGGCGAAGGCGGCUGUCUGGUCUGCAACUGACGCUGAGGCUCGAAAGCAUGGGUAGCGAACAGGAUUAGAUACCCUGGUAGUCCAUGCCGUAAACGAUGAGUGCUAGGUGUUGGAGGGUUUCCGCCCUUCAGUGCCGGAGCUAACGCAUUAAGCACUCCGCCUGGGGAGUACGACCGCAAGGUUGAAACUCAAAGGAAUUGACGGGGGCCCGCACAAGCGGUGGAGCAUGUGGUUUAAUUCGAAGCUACGCGAAGAACCUUACCAGGUCUUGACAUCUUGCGCUAACCUUAGAGAUAAGGCGUUCCCUUCGGGGACGCAAUGACAGGUGGUGCAUGGUCGUCGUCAGCUCGUGUCGUGAGAUGUUGGGUUAAGUCCCGCAACGAGCGCAACCCUUGUUACUAGUUGCCAGCAUUAAGUUGGGCACUCUAGUGAGACUGCCGGUGACAAACCGGAGGAAGGUGGGGACGACGUCAGAUCAUCAUGCCCCUUAUGACCUGGGCUACACACGUGCUACAAUGGACGGUACAACGAGUCGCAAGCUCGCGAGAGUAAGCUAAUCUCUUAAAGCCGUUCUCAGUUCGGACUGUAGGCUGCAACUCGCCUACACGAAGUCGGAAUCGCUAGUAAUCGCGGAUCAGCAUGCCGCGGUGAAUACGUUCCCGGGCCUUGUACACACCGCCCGUCACACCAUGGGAGUUUGUAACGCCCAAAGUCGGUGGCCUAAC